GUCCAUGAGGGCGAUCUGGCUGUGGCAUCUGUCGCCUCAUUGAUCACCAGGGUGGAUUCUGCUGAUCUAGCUGGCUAGGUGGAUGUCUGCUCCUACCUCACUGCUCCAUGUGCGACCCCCCUGAAGCUGCAUGCAUGGUGGAAGGGGACAACCUUCCCCAAAUAGAGGAGGACCAGUCUUCAGUCAAGGGUACACUUACCAGUAACUGCGCUCCCCUGUUAGAACCUCCAAACGAGCUCUCAAGUGAUAGAAUUUCAUAUAUAAAACAAAAUUGUCACUGUGGGUUUGCAAGAUGCAUUAUGUUGCUUCAA
ensembl:misc_RNA 7SK 7SK RNA